UGUGCCAUUACAUCAUCAUCACCUUCCAAUCAGCAUGCAGCAAGAUGCCCAGUGCCUCAUUGAACCCUAAAAUAUCAGACAGAGGCAUUGCAGCCUGUAAGAAUUGAAUAUAUCUGCUUCAAGUAUGAAUGUUUCACAACCAGAUUUAUCACUUUGGCUAGUCUUGGUGGCAGGCAGCGAGGAGAGGGUACAUUGAAUUUGCUGCAUACUAAUGCAGUCAUUCUCCACAGACUUCAUGUUUAUUUCAGUAUCGCAUUCCUCCCUUGACAAGGCCGCAGACACGCACACAUGCACUCUUUAUUUCUCUGAGCCGUCAGAGAGCAAACGGAGAAACGCACAGUUAUGACUAUAACUACUGUUCCCUGAAGGAGGGAAUUAGCUAUAACACACUAUGAAGAGUCAACAACCAAUCCUAUGCACCUGAAGAAAACUGAAAUCACACCCAACGGACCAAUGGAUGCCGAGCACGCCCUCGGAAGCCCCUCCUUCCUGGCUAUAAUACCGGGGCUCGCAAUAAUUUCCUUAUUCCCUCCUUUAGGGGAACAGUAGUUAUAUUCAUAACUGUACGUUCCCUUUCAGUUGGUCACUCUGUAUAACAUACUAUGGGUUACAUACAAUCAUGCCCAAAGCCAGCUCAGAGGGUACCAAACUAGGAGGCUCACCGCAGCCCAAGCACACACAGGUUCCACCUGCUCCAAAAAGAGGUUACAGAAGACACCUUUUUCCCUACUACUUAACUGUGAAGCAUGAACUGUCAGAGCCUCAUUAGGCCUGAACUGUCAGAUCCCCAUUUAGGGAACCAGAACCUGCUGCAACUUGGCUACAAGCACAGACUCGCUGCCACUGCAGCCCAAGUCCAUAGACCCAACUAUUCCAAGAACAAUACUUACCAUACGAGCCUGAAAUGUCAGAACUACAAAACAACAGAACACCUGUGGGGAAUUGGUAAAGUGUACACACGUUCGCAUAGCAUCAACCAGAGUCGAUGAACCAUGGCAGCUCGAGGCUCAAACCCACAGGAAACCUGCAGUAACCUGGAAACAGUGUACUCACACGCUGCCACGGCAGCCCAAGGCUCAAACCCACAGGGGAACUGUGGUAACACGGAUAAAUGUGAAAUCUGCACGCUGACUAACACACACUCCCAGACCCAGUGUAACAGUUUUGCUUCCGUCUCUCUCCUCGCCACAACCUGGGCUCAAACCAGGGGCCCUCUGAACACAUCAACAACUGCCUCCCAUGAAGCCUUGUUACCUAUCGUUUCACAAAAGCCUCAGCCCUUGCAGAGCAAGGGAAACAACUACUUCAAGGUCUCAGAGCGAGUGACGUCACUGAUUGAAAAGCUAUUAGCGUGCACCCCGCUAAUUAGCUAGCCAUUUCACAUCGGUUACACCAGCCAUAAGAACAACAUGAGCCACAGGGAGCAGUUACAUCCAAGCAAUAUAACCUCACAAAGGUAUAUGGGGAACCCCAACUCGCUACAGCACAGAUAUCAACAAUUAUCAUACACCUGAACACUGCCCAAGAAGCCGCCACACCCCUAGUAGAGUGAGCUUGCACACCACUAGGCAACCCUUGUCCUUUGUCACAGGCCAGGGAGAUUGCCUCCACAAUCCAAUGAGAAAGACGCUGCUUAAAAAGCGCCCUACCCAGAGUUGGAUUAGCGAAAGAGACAAAAAACUGGUCACAACGCGGAUAUCCUUGGUCCUAUCCAUAUACGUGCGUAAAGCGCACACACAGGCCAUGCAACCUGCGUUGUUCACUGGAAGCAAACGGAGGAGGUGAGAAAGGGAAAGUUCGAAUGCCAGAACCUGUAAGAUAUAGGCAUAACCUUGGGAGCAAACUGCAUUAGGAAUCAAUACACUUUGGAGUCAAUACUGUAUGCGCAAGAUCCCCAAUGCCCUUGGCUGAGACAUAGGCCAUGAGCAGGGCAGUCUUGUAGGAAAGGACCUCCACAUCCACAGACUCCAAUGGUUCAAACGGAGGCUCAUACAGAGUAUCCAGGACCAACGCCAGAUCCCAGGUCUUUGCCAUAGGCUUAGACCCUGAUCCGAGCCUACACACGUCUUUCAGGAACCGCACCACCAGAGGAUGAGACCCCAGGGUAGAGCCGUCCAUCGCUACCUGAAACGUUGAAAUGGCUGACAUAUAAACCUGCUCAAAAAGCUCUUGCAAGAACAUCAAAAUGUCCACCAAAGAGCUCUGAAAAGGAGAAACUCCCUCACCAUGACAUCCACCCUCAAACGCGUGCCACUUAUAUGUACACAACCCUCUUGUAGAGGGUGCACGCGUCGACUGUAUAGUCGUAAUCAGGUUUGAGGAUAAACUCCUAGCCAUCAAAUUCCACCUUUCAGGGGCCAAACCCACAGAUCCCAUAUCAAUGGUCAUGGGAGCCAAAUCCUUCCGUGGGACAAUAGAUCCCAAUGGCACAGAAUGCCCCACAGGUCCCCGCCCAACAGGCGGAUGCUCUUCGGGAACAGAGACUCUUGAUGGACUUUCUCCACAGUGCCUUGAAUCAGGUCCACCAGAGGAAUGCACAGAGCAGGCUUAGAGGCUAUUGAUACGCCAAAGCAUUAUUUCCCAACAGAGCGCCCAGAUCCCUUAUUAAGAACAACAGACAACAAUGUGCGUUUUCUCACGAUGUGUAAAGUCUACGUCAGCCCUGCCGAACUGGUCCCAUAUCUGGGCCACCACUGAGGGAUGCAGUCUCCACUCCGUAGAGCUAGGAUCCCUCCUAGAAAGUAGAUCCGCACCCACGUUAACAGAUCUGGGAGAUACGUUGCCCUGAGCGACAGGAAAUGCGCACUGCUCCAUACGAGCAGAUAACGGGCCAGAUUUAGGAGAGAGUGAGAGUGAGUCACUCCCUGUCUGUUGAUGUACUCCACCACCGUCGGACCUUACCAACACAUGCUGGCCCUCCAACAUCGGAAGGAAACGCCUCAGCGCUAGCAAAACAGUCAGUAGCUCUAGGUAAUUGAUAUGCAGCGCCCUUUGCUCUGUUGACCAAAUCCCUCUUUCUGAGUAGUCCACACACAGCAUUACCCCUCUCAGUAAGGAUGAGUCUGUUGUGAUCACCCUGUGGUACACUACCCGGCCCAUGAGAACCCCCUGCAACAGCAGUUGCGGGUCUCUCCAAGGAGUCAAGGCCCAAAGGCACGACAGGGAUAUCUUGAGCGAGAUGCGUCCAGACACGUAGCAAUCAACCAGCACUGAAAGAGACACAUCAAUUGAAGUCCCAGAGGGACCACAGCUAUCAUAGAGGCCUUCAGACCCAAUAACCGCAGGCACAAGCAAAAAGGCACCAAGUGCCCCAGCUGAAACCAUGCCAGACAGUGCUGGAAUGCGACGCUCCUCUGUUGAGACAAAAACGCAUGAUUCAGAACCAAGUCCAGAACUAGACCCAGAAACUGAAUGCACAACUUUUUCUGUGAUUUACGAUGAAUCCCAGCUACUGAAUAUGGGAAACCAGCAUGGAAGUGUGUAGCUCCAACUUUUCCCUCGACGCCGCUACGACCAGCCAAAUGUACAGAUAAGCCAAUACUCUUAUCCCCUGGCACCGCACCGGUGCCAAAGCCACCUGAACCACCAUAAAAAAGGUGUGGGCAUCCUUAAGAUCUAUGGACGUGAACCAAUCGCUGGGACACGCAAUGGCUGCAAUAGCCGGAGAAGUGUGAGUAUUUUGAACUUGCAACCUUGAGGUGCAUAUUUAAAACAUGCAAGUCCAGGAUGGGACGCAACGUUCCAUCGCUCUUGGGAACUAAGAAGUACGAGCUAUACCAACCGCUCUGUACUUCUGACACAGGGACCACCCGAAUAGCCUGCUUUUGAAGGAGAUCUCCUCUCUCCAGGCAGGCGCUAGGACCUCGGGGACUGACGACGUAAUGACGCCACGAAAAAGAGGAGGAUUCACAGCGAACUGCAGACCGUACACCCUUGUUUCCGUCCUCAUCACCCAUGGUGACUGCACAUGCCCGCCACUGGAUGGAGCAUGCUGCCAGUCUUCCAUACAUUAUCUCAAGGGGCAGAGUGCCACCCUGAGAACUGGGAUAAUUUCGAUUUUUUGUCAAGCUGUUUUCAUAUCCAUCACUCUUGACAAUCAUGUGUCUGAAUGUGGGGAAGGAACUAUGCGUUCUGAUGCCACAUCGCAUUUGGGGACACCCAUGCUUGGAUUAGCCACCUUGCUAGACUCUGGAGCCAAAUAACGUGCCACUCAUUGGCAAAAUAUUUAAACAUGGGUAAGCGACAUUUCACCGCUGCCGGCACAGGAGGUAAAUACCUUCCCCCACACCUGGAGGAACUCCGCUGUGGCGGAGAGAUAAGCACCAUCAAAGGCACAUUCACCACCAAUGGUUCACUCUCCCUCGCCAAAUCCAAAGCCGGGGCUUUAGGCUGCCCCGGUCUGAUGUCAUCCAAUUUACACUCUGAAAACCCUCCAGAACCAAUCAGGGAUAGUAUAUCACUCCAUGGAAUCCAGACUCUGAACAUUGUCAGAGAAAUCGAAAUGAGCCUAACUCAGCUAAAAUGACACCCAUAUCAACUCCAAUCAUCAAUCUUCCUCACAGUCAGCCCAACUCCGAAUAGAAGUUGAACUCAGCCAGAGCAGUGGUCACACGAACCUCCACAUGCGGUGGAGGUUCAAACUCGGCUGGUUAGCUUUUUUGAACUGACUCUUACCACUGGCCUUCUUACUCAAGCAAGGAAGCAUUAGCUGCACAAGCAGAGCAGAACGUAGUUCACUUUUACCAAACACAAAAAACUGAUACCAAGACCCCAAAAUUGAAACAUCUAGGGGGACGAGUACUUUCUCCCCACUAACAGACACCUAAGUCGGAUCCGAAUCUCCUAGCCAUCAUGUGCUUAAAAAGUUUGUAAAUUGCAUGACAUGUUCUUCCUCAGGUGAGCUGAAGAGCCCCGGUGUUAUAGCCAGGAAGGCGGGGCUUCCGAGGGUGGGAUCGACAUCCACUGGCCCGUUGGGCAUCAUUUCAGUUUGCUUCAGGUAUCUCUUUCAUGCUGUUCUGUGAGUCACCACAUUUCCUGUAAAUCUUGUGUAAUCCUACCACAAAAUCCAUGAAUAAAACAAUUACGACUUCA